CAAUAGCGUAUAUUGAAGUUGUUGCAGUUAAAAAGCUCGUAGUUGGAUUUCGGUUAAGAGCGACCGGUCCGCCGUUUGGUGUGCACUGGUUGGUUUUAACUUCCUGUAGAGGACGUGCUCUGGGUUUAACGACCUGGACUCGGAGUCUACGUGGUUACUUUGAAAAAAUUAGAGUGUUCAAAGCGGGCUUACGCUUGAAUAUUUCAGCAUGGAAUAACACUAUAGGACUCCUGUCCUAUUUCGUUGGUCUCGGGACGGGAGUAAUGAUUAAGAGGAACAGUUGGGGGCAUUCGUAUUUCAUUGUCAGAGGUGAAAUUCUUGGAUUUAUGAAAGACGAACUUCUGCGAAAGCAUUUGCCAAGGAUGUUUUCAUUAA
rnacentral:rRNA from 1 species